rnacentral:rRNA from 1 species
UAGGGAAUCUUCCGCAAUGGGCGAAAGCUUGACGGAGCAACGCCGCGUGAGUGAUGAAGGUCUUCGGAUCGUAAAACUCUGUUAUUAGGGAAGAACAAAUGUGUAAGUAACUAUGCACGUCUUGACGGUACCUAAUCAGAAAGCCACGGCUAACUACGUGCCAGCAGCCGCGGUAAUACGUAGGUGGCAAGCGUUAUCCGGAAUUAUUGGGCGUAAAGCGCGCGUAGGCGGUUUUUUAAGUCUGAUGUGAAAGCCCACGGCUCAACUGUGGAGGGUCAUUGGAAACUGGAAAACUUGAGUGGAGAAGAGGAAAGUGGAAUUCCAUGUGUAGCGGUGAAAUGCGCAGAGAUAUGGAGGAACACCAGUGGCGAAGGCGACUUUCUGGUCUGUAACUGACGCUGAUGUGCGAAAGCGUGGGGAUCAAACAGG